CUAGAGUUCAGGAAGUGACUAUGAGCUUUUAAUGACAGGAUAUCUGAAGUUGUUAUACAGAGAGACAGAGAGAUUGAUGAUUUCCCUUUGAACUGUGGGGCAGUGAGUGAUGAGCAUGGGGAGAGAUUCCACCAGGAUAUUGCAGGCAUGGAGAAAAGCUACCAAAGGAAACCGAGUCUGUCCUUGUGUGCCGAUUACUGCUGGAAUCUCCCCAGGGACGGUCCUACUGCAGUCCACAGAGAAAAGCCAAAAAGCGCAAUUUAGAUACCGAAUAAAGAUGGAACCUUGUCAUUUAAUCUGAUGUUAGAGCUGUCAGUCUUUCAUGCAAAAAGCAUAAAAAUGUUACUUGAAAAACCAAUAAAUGAAUGGAAAGUUA